GUUCGAGCGGGCGGCGCAGACCGCGCGGGAGUUCGCGACGGCCGUGGAGCGCCAGCGCCUCGGGCGGGGUUCGGGUCCCGGCUUCGACC
rnacentral:tRNA from 1 species